CACACAUUCACAGGUGCUUCCUGUUUUUUCAAACACCUUGCCCACCUUCUGCACACCAAGCGUGGAUUCUGCAAAAUGUAAGCCCAACAGGAAGCUGCCUGCAAUUUCAGGUAGCUUUUCUGACUCUUGAAAAGAUCUUGAGUAUACUUUCAGAGAAAUGCCAGCAAAAACUGUAGUCAUUUGGGAAGGAACAAUUCUGGAAGAAAGAGAUACAGCGAACUAGCACAAAGAGGUUUGAAAGGUUCGUGACAGCUCACAGCUCAUGAUGGUGGCAAUCUUGAGGAUACAGAAAACUCAUUCCUCAUGCAGGGAAGAAGAAAAUAUUCUAAAGAAGUGAUAAGCAUAUUCCAUGAAAUCAAGAAAGGAGAUGGCCCAUUACCCAUUACAAGGAUAUCAUUUCCUGCCUACUCGACUUGCUCAAAAAUCUCUGGAGGAGGUGGGGAGGGAUAGCCUGGGGAGAAAUGCCAAAUGUGGGUGAAGGGGAGAAGAAAAGCAAAGCACACUGCCAUGUGUGUACCUACGCAACUGUCUUGCAUGCUCUGCUCAUGUACCCCAAAACCUAAAAUCCAAUAAAAAAUUAAAAAAAAAAAAAAAAGGCCGGGCG
rnacentral:lncRNA from 13 species